GUAAAGAGCUCGUAGGUGGUUUGUCGCGUUGUUCGUGAAAUCUCACGGCUUAACUGUGAGCGUGCGGGCGAUACGGGCAGACUUGAGUACUGCAGGGGAGACUGGAAUUCCUGGUGUAGCGGUGGAAUGCGCAGAUAUCAGGAGGAACACCGGUGGCGAAGGCGGGUCUCUGGGCAGUAACUGACGCUGAGGAGCGAAAGCGUGGGGAGCGAACAGGAUUAGAUACCCUGGUAGUCCACGCCGUAAACGGUGGGUACUAGGUGUGGGUUUCCUUCCUUGGGAUCCGUGCCGUAGCUAACGCAUUAAGUACCCCGCCUGGGGAGUACGGCCGCAAGGCUAAAACUCAAAGAAAUUGACGGGGGCCCGCACAAGCGGCGGAGCAUGUGGAUUAAUUCGAUGCAACGCGAAGAACCUUACCUGGGUUUGACAUGCACAGGACGCCGGCAGAGAUGUCGGUUCCCUUGUGGCCUGUGUGCAGGUGGUGCAUGGCUGUCGUCAGCUCGUGUCGUGAGAUGUUGGGUUAAGUCCCGCAACGAGCGCAACCCUUGUCUCAUGUUGCCAGCGGGUAAUGCCGGGGACUCGUGAGAGACUGCCGGGGUCAACUCGGAGGAAGGUGGGGAUGACGUCAAGUCAUCAUGCCCCUUAUGUCCAGGGCUUCACACAUGCUACAAUGGCCGGUACAAAGGGCUGCGAUGCCGCGAGGUUAAGCGAAUCCUUUUAAAGCCGAUCUCAGUUCGGAUCGGGGUCUGCAACUCGACCCCGUGAAGUCGGAGUCGCUAGUAAUCG
rnacentral:rRNA from 1 species